rnacentral:rRNA from 1 species
UACGAAGGGGGCUAGCGUUGCUCGGAAUCACUGGGCGUAAAGGGCGCGUAGGCGGCCAUUCAAGUCGGAGGUGAAAGCCCAGGGCUCAACCCUGGAAUUGCCUUCGAUACUGUUUGGCUAGAGACCGGAAGAGGUAAGUGGAACUGCGAGUGUAGAGGUGAAAUUCGUAGAUAUUCGCAAGAACACCAGUGGCGAAGGCGGCUUACUGGACCGACAUUGACGCUGAGGAGCGAAAGCUAGGGGAGCAAACGGG